GUGCUCUCUUUGGCAGCACAUAUACUAAAAUUGGAAUGAUACAGAGUAUAUUAGCAUGGCUCUUGUCCAAGGAUGACACAUAAAUUCAUGAAGCAUUCCAUAUUAAA